ACUCCUACGGGAGGCAGCAGUGGGGAAUAUUGCGCAAUGGGGGAAACCCUGACGCAGCGACGCCGCGUGAGCGAUGAAGGCCUUCGGGUUGUAAAGCUCUGUUUUAAGGGACGAAUGUUCACUUUGCGAAUAGUUAAGUGAAAUGACGGUACCUUACCAGCAAGCCCCGGCUAACUACGUGCCAGCAGCCGCGGUAAU
rnacentral:rRNA from 1 species